rnacentral:rRNA from 1 species
AACGAACGCUGGCGGCAUGCCUAACACAUGCAAGUCGAACGAGACCUUCGGGUCUAGUGGCGCACGGGUGCGUAACGCGUGGGAAUCUGCCCUUGGGUUCGGAAUAACUCAGAGAAAUUUGAGCUAAUACCGGAUGAUGACGAAAGUCCAAAGAUUUAUCGCCCAAGGAUGAGCCCGCGUAAGAUUAGCUUGUUGGUGGGGUAAUGGCCCACCAAGGCGACGAUCUUUAGCUGGUCUGAGAGGAUGAUCAGCCACACUGGGACUGAGACACGGCCCAGACUCCUACGGGAGGCAGCAGUGGGGAAUAUUGGACAAUGGGCGAAAGCCUGAUCCAGCAAUGCCGCGUGAGUGAUGAAGGCCUUAGGGUUGUAAAGCUCUUUUACCAGGGAUGAUAAUGACAGUACCUGGAGAAUAAGCUCCGGCUAACUCCGUGCCAGCAGCCGCCGUAACAC